UGUGCCCCAUUACAACUUCUGAGAAGAGAGAAGGCUAAGAAGAGAUCUCUCCAUCAGUGAAGCGGCUGCCUCGGUCUCACCUUCUUCCCGUUCUGUCUCCUGCGCUUUUCAUUCCAUUUGGUCGCAGAAACCAAUUGCCCGGGAAGUCCAGUGGAAGUUUUCGUACAGGUUAUGACCAUUGAUCAUUAGCAUUGACAUGACGUAGAUCUUUCCAUCUGAAGGAAAUUCCAGAAGAUUAUUGUGGAUAUUAAAACAUAAUUGUCAAUUUAUAUGCAUUUACACAUGAAAUGGGGUGUCGUGGAAGGCCACUAUUUGACCUUAAUGAACUCCCAGCUGAAGAGGAAGAUGAGAAUGAUUGUGUCCUUUUCCAGCCCCGGAAGUCUGUUCCUAUUCCAAAUCCUCACACCUCAAGCUUUUUUCCACCAUCAGAAGGUUGCCAGCGGAUGGUUAAUAACCAUGCAUUCACACAUGCUUCUUCAGGUUCAGGUUUCCAGCCUUUUGUAAGGAACAAAGACCAACAUAACUCAAGGGAUGACUCCAAACAGAAGGCAGAUGAUUCAAAUGCCAACCAAGCAUCAACAUCAAUGGCUACAAGUCAUAGCGACGAUAACAAGUUUUCACUGUUGGUGUCUUCAGGUAAUCAGGAUGCUCAAGCUGUUGAAAGGGAAGAAGGGGAAUGGUCUGAUAUGGAGGGCACUGUUGAGGCAGUCGGAAGCAAUGUUAGCAGUAAGCAUGAGGAUGUUAAGACUGAACUUGCACAGAUGCAAAAAGCAACUGAAGAAAGUAAUCCUGUAUCUGUUAAGGCUGAUGAGAAUAGUUGCAAUGAUUCUAAUCUCCUUAGACCUAGCAAUAAUGAAGUUGGAGAUGCUUUUAAAGAUGCAAAAGUUCAUGACCCAUCAGGAUUAGAGAAUAACAGAACUGCAGACUGUAAUGCUAAAGGAAAUGUACUGGCAGAAGGCUUGGAAGAACCUUCUUCAAUUGCAAAGCCCAAAGAGGUCAAAGGAGUUGAAGCCAGUUAUGCAUUGAGAUUUGCAAAUAAUCCUGCAAAGAGGCCAAAGCUUGAUGAGCACAAGGAGGCAAUGUUAGGUAAGAAAAGAGGCAGGCAGACUGUUUUUAUUAAUGUGGAGGAUGCUAAGCAAGCUGGUCCUAUGAAAACUUCAACACCUAGGCGGCAAACUUCUUUUCCAACACCUAUUAUUACUCGUACUGUGAAAGACAUGCCUCGUGCUAGCCCUGCUGGUGUUGAGAGGGCUGUGGACAGGAGUCAGCCCAUAACCAAGGAUCAGAAGCAAUCAGACAUAGCAUGCAGUGAAGGAAGUAACCCUCUGGAGUCAAGUGACCAAAAGGCUGAAUCUAAUGGUGAUGUUAAUCCAGGGUCGAUAUCUCGCUCUAAGAAGAUGAACAACAAUGAGUUUUCUUCAGAAUCUUACUUACCACCCGUUCCAAGACAGGCUUCAUGGAAGCAGGCUGUAGACUCCAGGCAGUAUAAGAACCCAACCAUGUCAUCACGAAAACCUUGUGUCACAGGUCAGAGCAUUUCAGAUCAGAAAUUGGGAAACAAAAAACAUCUUCCUUCUAAGAAGCAGACUUCAAACAACACACAGUACCAAGAUACAUCAGUGGAGCGGCUUCUGAGGGAGGUGACGAAUGAGAAGUUCUGGCAUCAUCCAGAGGAGACGGAACUUCAGUGUGUGCCUGGACGCUUUGAGUCUGUUGAGGAGUAUGUGAGAGUUUUUGAGCCCUUGCUCUUCGAGGAAUGCCGAGCACAGCUUUACAGCACCUAUGAGGAGCUUACAGAGACUGUAGCCAGGGAUGCACAUAUAAUGGUUCGUGUAAAAACUGUGGAAAGACGGGAAAGAGGAUGGUAUGAUGUCAUAGUUCUUCCAGUGCAUGAUUGCAAAUGGACUUUCAAGGAAGGUGAUGUUGCUGUUGUAUCAACCCCUCGGCCUGGUACAGCCAGAUCUAAUAAGAGAAGUAUUAAUUCCGGUGCAAUUGAUGAUGAUGUUGAAUCGGAGGUUACUGGACGGGUUGUCGGUACUGUUAGGCGACAUAUACCUAUUGACACGCGUGAUCCUCCUGGGGCAAUUCUUCAUUUUUAUGUUGGGGAUUCAUAUGAUUCUAGUAGCAAGGUGGAUGAUGAUCAUAUUCUAAGGAAGCUUCAACCAAGGGGCAUUUGGUAUUUAACUGUUCUCGGGUCCCUUGCAACUACUCAGCGUGAAUACAUUGCUCUUCAUGCAUUUCGCCGUCUUAACUUGCAGAUGCAAACUGCUAUUCUGAAGCCUAGUCCAGAACACUUCCCCAAGUGCGAAGAGCAGCCCCCUGCCAUGCCUGACUGUUUCACCCAGAAUUUUGUUGAUCAUCUUCACAGGACUUUUAAUGGUCCUCAGUUGGCUGCUAUACAGUGGGCUGCAAUGCACACAGCUGCAGGCACAAGUGGUGGAGUGGCAAAAAGGCAAGAUCCAUGGCCUUUCACUCUUGUUCAAGGCCCUCCUGGAACUGGGAAGACACACACAGUGUGGGGCAUGUUAAAUGUUAUUCAUCUUGUCCAAUAUCAGCAUUACUACACUGCUUUGCUCAAGAAACUUGCUCCAGAGAGCUACAAGCAAACUAGCGAGAGUAAUUCUGAGUGUGUUGGUACCGGAUCAAUUGACGAAGUUUUGCAGUGUAUGGACCAGAACCUCUUCCGGACUCUGCCAAAGCUUUGCCCUAAGCCUAGAAUGCUUGUCUGUGCUCCUUCAAAUGCUGCCACAGACGAGCUGCUGGCACGUGUCCUUGACCGUGGCUUCAUCGAUGGGGAGAUGAAGGUCUACCGUCCUGAUGUUGCUCGUGUUGGAGUGGAUUCACAAACCCGUGGAGCUCAGGCAGUUUCUGUUGAGCGAAGAACUGAACAGCUUUUGCUUAAGUGUCGUGAUGAGAUUAUUUGCUGGUUGUAUCAGCUGAAAAGUCGUGAACAGCAGUUCUCACAAGAGAUUGCUCAUCUUCAGAGAGAACUUAACGUUGCAGCUGCAGCAGGUCGAUCCCAAGGAUCUGUUGGUGUUGAUCCUGAUGUUCUUGCUGCCCGGGAUCAUGGUCGUGAUGUACUACUUCAGAACCUUGCUGCAGCAGUAGAGGGCAGAGAUAAAGUUUUGGUCGAGAUGUCACGCCUUCUUAUUUUAGAAAGCAGGUUUCGUGCUGGAAGCAGCUUUAACAUGGAAGAUGCACGAUCCAGCCUUGAAGCAAGUUUUGCUAAUGAAGCUGAAAUUGUUUUCACUACAUUGUCAAGCAGUGGUCGCAAGUUAUUCUCUCGUCUCAGUCAUGGCUUUGAUAUGGUAGUUAUUGAUGAGGCAGCCCAGGCCAGUGAGGUAGCAGUCCUGCCUCCCCUCUCACUGGGUGCAGCAAGAUGUGUUCUGGUUGGUGAUCCCCAGCAACUCCCUGCAACGGUCAUUAGUAAAGCAGCUGGAACCUUGUUGUAUAGUAGAAGCCUUUUUGAGAGAUUUCAACAAGCAGGUUGCCCUACAAUGUUAUUGUCUGUGCAGUAUAGAAUGCACUCUCAGAUCCGUGAUUUUCCAUCUAGAUACUUCUAUCAAGGGCGUCUGAUGGACAGCGAGAGUGUAGCCAACCUUCCUGAUGAAAUGUACUACAAGGACCCCUUGUUGCAGCCUUACAUCUUUUAUGAUGUCAUGCAUGGACGGGAGUCCCACAGAGGGGGAUCAGUCUCGUACCAGAAUAUUCAUGAAGCACAGUUCUCUCUGCGGUUAUAUGAGCAUCUUCAGAAGUUUCUGAAAGCCGGUGGUGGCAAAAAAGUCACGGUUGGCAUAAUUACACCAUACAAGCUGCAGCUGAAGUGUCUCCAACGAGAAUUUGAGGAAGUUCUGAACUCUGAGGAUGGAAAGGAUAUCUACAUCAACACUGUCGAUGCAUUCCAGGGCCAGGAACGUGAUGUAAUUAUCAUGUCCUGUGUGCGUGCCUCAAAACAUAGUGUUGGAUUUGUUGCUGACAUCCGCCGCAUGAAUGUUGCCCUUACUCGAGCUAGGAGGGCAUUAUGGGUUGUGGGCAAUGCAAAUGCUCUCAUGCAGUCAGAUGACUGGGCUGCAUUGAUUGCAGAUGCUAAGGAAAGGAAAUGUUUCAUGGGCAUGGAUAGCAUCCCUAAAGAACUCUUGGUUCUGAAGGGGUCUGCCAGCACUCCAAAAGUUUCCUCGAAUAACAUGAGGAGCUCGAGAUCUGGUGGGAGGCAGAGACAUCUAGAGAUGCUCCCAGAGCCCAAGUCCGGCACACCAUCUGAAGACGAAGAGAAGGCAAACAUACAUCUUCCAAGGAAUGGUAGCUAUAGGAAUCUCAAGUAGAAUGUUCUCUGGAUGAUUUGGGGCGGUCGGGUGACAGGUCUCAAGAUGCUUUGCAGUAUGGCAUUGCUAAGAGGCAAAGUGAAUUCUUCUGGAUCUACUAGGAGAGAUUGACGUUAGCAAGCUUUCAUAUCUGGGGCUUUGUGCAAAUCCAUUUAAUCAACUGGCACUAACAUGUCAGUGAAGCUCAAUUCAUGUGGAAGCCACAAAGAGAUUACUCGGGCAUUUGUGCAGUGGAAAAGAAGGCCUUUCUGACUGCUGACAUGCCCCGAUAGAUUGGGGUGCUGACCUUGAAACACCUGCAGCUAUAAUAAUCAUGAGGAGGAAGGGCAGCCAGGAUUACUUGAGAACCAUCGUUAAAGAUGUCUCGGGUCUUGAGGAUGCUUGGAUUGAGGAGCUGCUGUGUGUUUUGGAAAGCUGACUGGGUGAGAAAUCAGAAGCUGCAAUAUUGGAAACAUUCAGCCAAGAGUAGUACUUUAUGCUCCAUGUUUGUGGGGACUUCUGUUCACAGGUUGUGUUUGGAGGGCAAGAUUUUGAAGAGUUCCCAUUUGGAUCAAAUGCCUAGCUCAACUUCAAGCGGCAGGAAGAGCUCCAGGAACUUUGAAGGCUUGAAGACUACUCAAAGGGCAGGCAAGAACUCCAUUAACUUCAGUAGAGCUUGCGUGGAGACCUAGACAUUUGACACCACUUGCUAGUUACUGUCAUACCUGCACCUAAGGCUUUAACUUCUUGUUUAUCUGUAUGUGUUUGAAACAGAGGCCAUGCCCCACAAAUUGUCGGGAUGGACUUAACAGAUGCGUCUGAUGUUAAUGGAUCCUUGGACUCAUCUUAUAGAGCGAUCUCACUGGCUUUCAGAAGGGUGAAUGCGCAAAAGAAGCCUCAAGAACAAUCGACAUUUGUGUACUUUGUUGAGGAUAUUGAAUUAAAUGUACGUUGCUUGGAAAGAGGCUAUCAGCACAUCACCUUAUUUUGUAACACAGAGUAACAUCCAUGGAAAAGAGUUUAGGGAAUUCUUGUGGAAAAGAAAGACGACUUGAGAAGAGACACAAAACCAAACAUGCAUUUUGACUUGUGAGAAAAGAAAUCUUUUAUAAAUUGGGCAUCUAAGACUCAUUUUUAGGCCGACUUUGGCAUAUAAAGGUGAGUGCACCUCCUUAUUUAAAAAUCUGUCGGUUAAAAAUUUUGUGCAGACAAGCCGCCCCACGGACGCAUUCCCGUUUGCAUACAAAGACAUAAAGUGGUGAAAAAGCAAGUGGCCGCCACCAACAACAAAUGAUGAAGAAAAAUGUCACUCUUUUUAUCUAAUUUACAGCCAGUCCCUCGAGUUAAUUUUUGAAUACCACAAGUUGCCUUCUCUUUAGGAUUCGUGUUCAUAUGUGACUGCAGUUUAAACUGGCCUUAACUACAGCAACCCCCUCAUCCUACAUCCCAACUUGGAUCCAUACUUAUUGACUGCAGAUGAAUAGGGCAUUUUAUGAAUUAUUUUGCAUAUUUUUCACCAAGUCAAAGGGAAAACAAGAACCUUAUCCAAGGCAUGUGAUGAAACGGGGAGGAAAGAGACACUGAUGAAGUUAUUGUUCCUCCCCUGUUCAUUAUCCAACGCAUUUGAUGAAAAAUGUUGGAAAGAAUCACUGAUGAAGAAGUAAUUGUUUCUUC